ACUCUUGUAGUUUAAAUAAAACAGUAGAUUUUCUUCUUACAAUUUCCUUGAUAAAGGACAAGGGUU
rnacentral:tRNA from 1 species